rnacentral:rRNA from 1 species
ACGAAGGGUGCAAGCGUUAAUCGGAAUUACUGGGCGUAAAGGGUGCGUAGGCGGUUCGUUAAGUCUGUCGUGAAAUCCCCGGGCUCAACCUGGGAAUGGCGAUGGAUACUGGCGAGCUAGAGUGUGUCAGAGGAUGGUGGAAUUCCGGGUGUAGCGGUGGAAUGCGUAGAGAUCCGGAAGAACACCGGUGGCGAAGGCGGCCUGCUGGGCAGUGGCUGACGCUGAGGCGCGACAGCGUGGGGAGCAAACAGGA